rnacentral:lncRNA from 1 species
ACAUCUCUUGGAGUUCUAGCUCACCUUUCUGGUGUUGUUCUUGUACUCAUCUGUUUAAUCUAGUUUUGCCACUUCUUCUUGAACUUCUUGUUAGAUUUCAAGUCUGUAUUUUGUAUCCGUGACACUAAUUUAAAAGUAAUGUGUUGACAAAGUUUUUAUGUCACUGCUUUAAUUAUCCAAUAUUUCAGAUAUAAUUAUUUUACUGGUGAUGUAUUCCAUG